GGUUCAAUGGUCUAGUGGUUAUGAUUUCUGUCUCACAGUCUAUUGGACACAGAAGGUCUCCAGUUCGAUCCUGGAUUGAACCA
rfam:Termitomyces sp. J132 unplaced genomic scaffold scaffold20, whole genome shotgun sequence.